rnacentral:rRNA from 1 species
GAUGAACGCUGGCGGCGUGCCUAAUACAUGCAAGUCGAACGAACAGAUGAUGAACUUUCUCCUCGGACGGUAGCGGCGGACGGGGUAGUAAAACGUGGAUAACCUACCUAUAAGACUGGGAUAACUUCGGGAAACCGGAGCGAAUACCGGAUAAUAUAUUGAACCACAUGGUUCAAUAGUAAAAUACGGGUUUGCUGGCACUUAUAGAGGAAGCCGCGCCGCAGUAUCUAGUUGGUAAGGUAACGGCUUAAGAAGGCAACGAUGGGUAGCCGAACUGAGAGCGUGAUCGGCCACACUGGCACAGAGACACGGCCCAGACUCCUACGGGAGGACGCAGUAGGGACUCUUACGCAAUGGGCGAAAGCCUGACGGAGCACAGCCGCGUGAGUGAUGAAGGUCCUCGGAUCGUAAAACUAUGUUAUUAGGGAAGAACAAAUGUGUAAGUCAAUAUGCACGUCUUGACGGUACCUAAUCAGAAAGCCACGGCUAACUACGUG